CCGUUACCCGAACCCGAAAAACCUGAACCCGAACCCGUAAUAUCGGGUACCCGAAAUUUUUUCGGGAAUUUCGGGUACUAAUUUGUGAAACCCGAAAUUAUUCUGAGUAAUUCGGGUAGCGCAAACCGGUACCCGAAUAACCCAUACCCGAAAUUCCUACAUGCUACAGUCCAAGUCCGCAAACACCCACGGCCCACUGACCACUGUCCACACCGUGACACCGGCCGCCCGGCCGGCCCAGGCCCACCAGCGCACACCGCCGCAAACCUUAGGUGUCACUGUGUCAGACCAUCACACGCAGACGCAGACGCCGCCUUCUUCCUGACCAGCGGUACAGGCGGUCCAGCCUUCAGACGCCGCUAGAGCGCCAGCGCCGCCACCCGCCAGCAGCAGGAUCCAGCUCCACGUCCAGCCGCACUGCCACAGCCAGGCAGCCAGCAGCCAGGGCUCCACGUCCAGCCACAGCAGCCAGCACCAGCAGGCUCCACGUCCAGCCACAGCCAGAGCUCGCCGGGGAUCCUGGACACCGAGUCGCCCACCACGCCGGUCGGCCAUGCCAUCCAGGACCAGGCUGCUCAACAAAGCCUAGAAAAAUCUUGCGAGAGUUCAAGUCAGACUGGUUUUGUUUCUGGUUAUUUUGGUCUCAAAUGGCACCAGCAGGAUCUCAACCUUCGUUAAAAUUUUAUUGCCGAGUGCUCUGGUGAGUGUUCUGCUCUGAAUAGCAACUGUUUUUAAAAU